rnacentral:misc_RNA from 1 species
GAGCAGGAGUGAGAAGAAGAGCCGCAAGGCAAUGAUUAAGCUUGGAAUGAAAGCUGUCCCUGGUGUCAGCAGGGUUACUAUAAAGAGAGCCAAAAAUGUUCUGUUUGUCAUCUCGAAGCCUGAUGUCUUCAAGAGCCCGAAUUCUGAGACGUAUGUGAUAUUUGGCGAGGCGAAGAUUGAAGACUUGAGCUCCCAGCUGCAGACGCAGGCGGCUCAGCAGUUCAGAAUGCCCAACCUCAGCAACUUCAUGGGGAAGACUGAUGCGCUGGCAGCUGCACCAGUUGAUGAGGACGAGGAGGAUAUCGAUGAGACGGGAGUGGAGCCCAAAGACAUUGAGCUUGUCAUGACCCAGGCUGGUGUGUUGAAAGGAAAGGCAGUCAGAGCUCUAAAAAAUAAUGGAGGCGACAUUGUU